rnacentral:lncRNA from 1 species
UUCUUGAAAGAUUUGAUUAUUUACUAAUUGUUUUUUGUCAGAGAUAUACAAAGCAAUAAUUUGGUGAGCACAAGUUGUUAAACAUAUUAUAUGCUGGAAAUUCAAAACAUUUAUCAGUCAACAAACGGAGCACAAAGAGUUAGUGUUAGAGGUUGGAUGAUUUGCAGAAAUAUGUAUCUAGAAUCAGAUGAAGUGAAGAGGAGUUGCAAACCCACCAAAUCAACAUUGGGUAUAUCAAGACCACGAGAAGCAACAUCAGUGGCCACAAGCACAGUAAAUUUCCCUUGGCGGAAACCAUUUAAUGUCCUCUCACGCUGAUGUUGUGAAAUAUCACCAUGAAGCGCCUCAGACGCAAUACUGGUUGUCAAUGCUAAUGAUACCUCGUCUGCAUCCCGUUUUGUCCGAGUGAAAACAAUAGUUUUCCCACCCUUUGCAUAUACCUGGCAACUAAAGAUUUGAGUAACAUUGCACUAACACAUGUAAAGUGAUCAAAGUAGGAUAUCAUCGAAAAUCUUAUGCACCAACGUUAAAACACUAAAGAGGUCCAAGCAAAUCAUUAAUUGCACUUUUAAAAGGUCAAGCACCCAUAGAACUAAAAGCACAAAAGUAGUUGUUAUUUGUAACUGCUAAACCAAGACUGCCAUUAUUGUAAAAGAUAAAUACAGCCCCACGGCAACUUAAAUGAAUGAAAGAAUAAAAGUUCAAGGAAAGUAUAACCUAUAUUCAAGAAAAAGUAAUGUCAACAUACAAAAGUAAAUGCUAAUCAACGAAAUCAUGCACAUUGAAACUAUCUGCUUUAUUUAUCUCAGCCCAGGGGUUAGACAUAAAACAGAGGGCAGUAAACAACAGAAGAGAGGAAAAGAUUACAAAAAAAAAAGCCAACAAAUCAUGAAACUGCAUUAACAUACCGUAAUGAGAUCACUAAGAAUGGUGCGCUUUGAAGUCGUUGUGAGUGGAAUAGCAAAGAGUUUGAUUCCUUCAGCUAAUUUUUCAUCU